UAAGGAUUGUAAAGAGGGGAAGCCUUC
rnacentral:sRNA from 1 species